rnacentral:rRNA from 1 species
UACGAAGGGGGCUAGCGUUGCUCGGAAUCACUGGGCGUAAAGCGCACGUAGGCGGACUCUUAAGUCGGUGGUGAAAUCCUGGAGCUCAACUCCAGAACUGCCUUCGAUACUGAGAGUCUCGAGUCCGAGAGAGGUGAGUGGAACUGCGAGUGUAGAGGUGAAAUUCGUAGAUAUCAGGAGGAACACCGGUGGCGAAGGCGGGUCUCUGGGCAACUACUGACGCUGAGGAGCGAAAGCGUGGGGAGCGAACAGG